rnacentral:tRNA from 1 species
GCGUCAGUGGUUUAGUGGUAAAAUCCAUCGUUGCCAUGUGUGCAAUCCUCGAUGGGCCCCGCGUUCGAUUCGCGGCUGACGCA